UGGAGUCGCAUUACAUCCUCCCGUUCCCCUGAAAACGUUUAUUUACACGUUGAAGUUACUGGAUGCUUGUUCUGACAAAGUGACCACCUAUAAACUUCUCAUGGAUGUUGACUGGGACUUCAUGGCAGAAAUCUCACUUAAAAACAACUGGAAAUGACUUUACCUUGGCCCAAGUCACAGUGCAGCAGCCACCUCCUCCUUCUCCAGCCCUGCUCAUUAUCUCAUGACUUUAAAAAUAACUCCGUGAAAAGUACAGAAGCCUAUUUUGUGCAGAAACUGAACAGAAGGUAU